rnacentral:tRNA from 1 species
ACAGAGAUAGUUUAGCAGUUAAGAGCACUUGUUUCUCUCACAGAAAACCUGGGUUCGAUUCCUAGUAUCUGCA